rnacentral:snoRNA from 1 species
AAGACUUAUACUUCACAGGAUCAUUUCUGUAGUAUGUCUUCCUUUCUCUCUACUCAACAGUAGAAUAGAAACAAACCGCGAUGAUGAGGUAUAUGUCCUCUUCCCUGAGCGUGAGGCCGCUGCCGCCGCCGCUGUGUUCCGAGUCGUAUGACCUGGGACCGCGCGCGCGCAGCAUCGAUGAUCGUUCCCUUCGCCCUCGCGGCGACGGGGUGGGAAGUGGGCUGCCUGAGCGGU